GGAGUGCUUCAUUGGCUGCCCGUGGGUUAUCUCUGUGUCUGGAGCAUAGAUAUUUUCAUUUCAUUAAAUGUUUCUCGUUGUCAUUUGUCGAUUGUUCACUCUCUUCUAUUUUCUUAUAGCUUUCAAGGUACGAUUUUAUUAUUGUGUUUAAUACGGGACAGUACUACGGCCUUAAUUGAUGUCCUCGUCCACGCCUGCCUUGACACGGAUAUGGACUUUGAGGUGAGUUCUGAUAUGAGCCUCUACCCUCCAGUUUCUAGCUCCACGACCACAUUCUAUUUGUGAUCCACUUUCAUUCUAACAAACCAAUAAUUUGAGUGCAUUUUUAAUUCUUAACCCAUUUUUUGUAAUUCUCACAUGUCACUUGCACCAAAGAGCUAGAAGAACUCUCUUAUGAUGUUGAUAAUUCCACCAACUUGGUGCUGAGUUCUUUCUCACCAUUGGACGAGCUCCAUGAUAACGAAUUAGGUUUCCAUUUCAUAGAGGCUCUUAUACCAUGUAAACUUCGAAACAUUUAGAGAACUUGUUAUUGUAUAACACACGUACACAAUGCUAUAAGUCGUUAUACCAUAUUUG